rnacentral:lncRNA from 1 species
CUCGCCGCCGUUUAGGCAUUCGUCUCCCUUGCAGAGAGAGUCUCGUCAGCUGGCCAGCGCCUCGAAUAGAAGUAAUGUCGGUGCGGGUGGCGGCAGCGGGAGUGGGAGUGGGAGUGGGAGUACUCCUGGUCCGCCGGCUAUCAAGUUUACGGAUAGGCAGUACUUGAAUAUAUUGCAGUCUAUGGGGCAGUCCAUACAUAUCUUUGCUGUUGAUGGCCGUCUUAUCUACUG